rnacentral:rRNA from 1 species
AACUUUCAACAACGGAUCUCUUGGUUCUCGCAUCGAUGAAGAACGCAGCGAAAUGCGAUAAGUAAUGUGAAUUNNNGNAUUCAGUGAAUCAUNGAAUCUUUGAACGCACAUUGCGCCCCUUGGUAUUCCGAGGGGCAUGCCUGUUCGAGCGUCAU